AUAGAGGCAAGCUACUAAGGGCGCACGGUGGAUGCCUAGGAGCAAGGAGCCGAUGAAGGGCGUGGCAAGCUGCGAUAAGCCACGGGGAGCCGCAAGCAGGCGUUGAUCCGUGGAUUCCCGAAUGGGGAAACCCGGCCACCGCAAGGGUGGUCACCCACCGCUGAACCCAUAGGCGGUGUGGAGGGAACCUGGGGAACUGAAACAUCUCAGUACCCAGAGGAAAAGAAACCGAAUGGGAUUCCCUCAGUAGUGGCGAGCGAACGGGGAACAGCCUAAACCAGUCGGGCGUGCCCGAUUGGGGUCGUGGGACCGACACAAGGGAGCGUCUUCCGCUUAGCAGAAGCUGCCUGGAACGGCACGCCAUAGAGGGUGAGAGCCCCGUAUGCGAAAAGUGGAGCGCCCCGUCGGGAUCCCGAGUAGCACGGGAUAAGUGGAACCCUGUGCGAAUCUGCCCGGACCACCGGGUAAGGCUAAAUACUCCUUGCUACCGAUAGCGCAACCAGUACCGUGAGGGAAAGGUGAAAAGCACCCCGGCGAGGGGAGUGAAAGAGAACCUGAAACCGUGCGCUUACAAGCAGUCGGAGGGCUAUGCCCCGCAAGGGGAACAGCCUGACGGCGUGCCUUUUGCAGAAUGAGCCGGCGAGUUACGCUUUGUGGCAAGGUUAAGCGCCUCAGGCGCGGAGCCGCAGCGAAAGCGAGUCCUCACAGGGCGACUCAGUCACAAGGCGUAGACCCGAAACCGCGCGAUCUACCCCUGGUCAGGCUGAAGCCGUGGUAACACACGGUGGAGGGCCGAACCGGUGUCCGUUGAAAAGGGCUCGGAUGAACUGGGGGUAGUGUGGUGAAAUGCCAAUCGAGCGCGGAGAUAGCUGGUUCUCCCCGAAAUGCAUUGAGGUGCAGCGUCACGGGCUAUGCUAUGCAGGUAGAGCCACUGGAUGGGCUAGGGGCCCCACCAGGUUACCGAACCCAACCAAACUCCGAAUGGCAUAGCAGGAACCGUGGCAGUGAGACAGCGACGGAUGAGCGCCGUUGUCAAAAGGGAAACAGCCCAGACCGCCCGCUAAGGUCCCUAAGCACAGGCUAAGUGUGAAAGGAUGUAGGCUCGCGUAGACAACCAGGAGGUUGGCUUAGAAGCAGCCAUCCUUUAAACAGUGCGUAACAGCUGACUGGUCGAAUGUGAGCCUGCGCCGACAAUGUAAGGGGGCUUAAGCCUGUCACCGAAGCGGCGGGUUCCCAGCAAUGGGAGCGGUAGGGGAGCGUUCUGCACGCAGUGAAGGUGGAGCGUGAGCACCGCUGGAGCGUGCAGAAGUGAGAAUGCCGGCACGAGUAGCGAGAAGACGGGUGAGAAUCCCGUCCGCCGAAAGCCUAAGGGUUCUUCAGGCAGGUUCGUCCGCUGAAGGUUAGGCGGUCCUAAGCCGAGGGCGAAACGCCGUAGGCGAAGGGCAGUGGGUCAACAUUCCCACCCCAGGGCGUGGAGCGAGAACGGGGACGCUUGAGAAUCGGUCGGGCGCAGGGUUGUAAGGCUGCGCGCGCCCCAGCGGCAACUCUGGGGCGCCGAAGGGAUCCCUCGUGGUGAACGAAGCGACCGUGACUCAAGCCGAGAAAAGCCGUUCCGCGUUGAAACGUCCUGACCGUACCGCAAACCGACACAGGUAGGCGAGGCGAGGAGCCUCAGGCGCGCGAGAGAAGUCCCGCUAAGGAACUCGGCAAAUUGACCCCGUAACUUCGGGAGAAGGGGUGCCUCCGCAAGGAGGUCGCAGCAAAGAGGGCCCGGCGACUGUUUACCAAAAACACAGCUCUCUGCGAAGGGGUAACCCGACGUAUAGGGGGCGACGCUUGGCCAAUGCCCGUAGGUUAAGGGGAGGGGUCAGCCGCAAGGUGCAGCCCCAAACUGAAGCCCGGGUGAAUGCCGGCCGUAACUCUAACGGUUCAACUGCCUAUGGUAGCGAAAUUCCUUGUCGCGUAAAUUGCGACCCGCACGAAAAGCGUAACGACUGGGCCACUGUCUCAGCGGGACACUCGGUGAAACUGUAGUACCCGUGAAGAUGCGGGUUACCUGCGGUAGGACGGAAAGACCCUAUGGAGCUUUACUACAGCCUGGGAUUGCAUUUCGGUGUGUCAUGUAGAGCGUAGGUGGGAGCUUCGGCGCCAAUGGAACACCACCCUUGACCCACUGAAGUGCUAACCCGGACCGUAAGCCGGUUCGGAGACAGUCUUAGGUGGGUAGUUUGACUGGGGCGGUCGCCUCAAUAGUGGGGCGCUCCGAUGGUAACAUCGGAGGCGCCUAAACGGUAACGGAGGUGUUCAAAGGUCCGCUCAGCGCGGUCGGAAAUCGCGCGUCGAGUGCAAGGGCACAAGCGGGCUUGACUGUGAGACCUACGGGUCGAGCAGGGGCGAAAGCCGGACCUAGUGACCCUCUGGCAGUGCGUGGGCACGCCAGGGUUCAUCGGAUAAAAGCUACCCUAGGGAUAACAGGCUGAUCCUGCCCGAGCGCCCACAGCGACGGCGGGGUUUGGCACCUCGAUGUCGGCUCAA
rnacentral:rRNA from 1 species